UGCUGCUUUGCUGACGAGUGGCGGACGGGUGAGUAAUGUCUGGGAAACUGCCUGAUGGAGGGGGAUAACUACUGGAAACGGUAGCUAAUACCGCAUAACGUCGCAAGACCAAAGAGGGGGACCUUCGGGCCUCUUGCCAUCGGAUGUGCCCAGAUGGGAUUAGCUAGUAGGUGGGGUAACGGCUCACCUAGGCGACGAUCCCUAGCUGGUCUGAGAGGAUGACCAGCCACACUGGAACUGAGACACGGUCCAGACUCCUACGGGAGGCAGCAGUGGGGAAUAUUGCACAAUGGGCGCAAGCCUGAUGCAGCCAUGCCGCGUGUAUGAAGAAGGCCUUCGGGUUGUAAAGUACUUUCAGCGGGGAGGAAGGGAGUAAAGUUAAUACCUUUGCUCAUUGACGUUACCCGCAGAAGAAGCACCGGCUAACUCCGUGCCAGCAGCCGCGGUAAUACGGAGGGUGCAAGCGUUAAUCGGAAUUACUGGGCGUAAAGCGCACGCAGGCGGUUUGUUAAGUCAGAUGUGAAAUCCCCGGGCUCAACCUGGGAACUGCAUCUGAUACUGGCAAGCUUGAGUCUCGUAGAGGGGGGUAGAAUUCCAGGUGUAGCGGUGAAAUGCGUAGAGAUCUGGAGGAAUACCGGUGGCGAAGGCGGCCCCCUGGACGAAGACUGACGCUCAGGUGCGAAAGCGUGAGGAGCAAACAGGAUUAGAUACCCUGGUAGU
rnacentral:rRNA from 1 species